CAAGUCAAAGUUCUCAAAAACUAUUCACGAGCAAUUUAUCAUUCUCAUGAGAAUGCAACGCUUCUACUGUGUACAUCUAUUGAACAAGUCGACUGUUUGAGAUCAAAAUGAAAUUUUUGGCACAUGUCAUGAUGGUGCUGGCUUUUGCUCAUUGCUCAAACACGUCACCAGUCGAUAUUUAGCAAGAUGUUGAAAAACCAGUUAAAACAUUCAUUGCUUGCAUUUGCUCAAAUGGUCUUGAUCAUGGAGUUCAACGCUAUGGACACUGUUUACAUCAUGAGAGAAUCUGUGCACGACUGCUGGCUUUUGGUCUUUGCUGUCUUAAAUACUGAUUGUUUUACUACAAAAAUUUCUGCACUGAAUUGAACUAAAAAUGAAAAUGUUAUUUGAUCAUUUUAUGCUUAAUAAAUCAUAUAAUAAUA